rnacentral:rRNA from 1 species
AUUGAACGCUGGCGGCAUGCCUUACACAUGCAAGUCGAACGGUAACAGGUCUUCGGAUGCUGACGAGUGGCGAACGGGUGAGUAAUACAUCGGAACGUGCCUAGUAGUGGGGGAUAACUACUCGAAAGAGUGGCUAAUACCGCAUGAGAUCUACGGGUGAAAGCAGGGGAUCGCAAGACCUUGUGCUACUAGAGCGGCCGAUGGCAGAUUAGGUAGUUGGUGGGAUAAAAGCUUACCAAGCCGACGAUCUGUAGCUGGUCUGAGAGGACGAUCAGCCACACUGGGACUGAGACACGGCCCAGACUCCGACGGGAGGCAGCAGUGGGGAAUUUUGGACAAUGGGCGCAAGCCUGAUCCAGCAAUGCCGCGUGCAGGAUGAAGGCCUUCGGGUUGUAAACUGCUUUUGUACGGAACGAAAAGCCCUGGGUUAAUACCCUGGGGUCAUGACGGUACCGUAAGAAUAAGCACCGGCUAACUACGUGCCAGCCGCCGCUGUAACAC